rnacentral:rRNA from 1 species
AGAGUUUGAUCAUGGCUCAGGAUGAACGCUGGCGGCGUGCUUAACACAUGCAAGUCGAACGAGAGAAGAUCGGUGCUUGCACUGAUCCGAUCGAGUGGCGGACGGGUGAGUAACGCGUGGGUAACCUGCCUCAUACAGGGGAAUAACAGUUGGAAACGGCUGCUAAAACCGCAUAAGCGCACAGUAUCGCAUGAUACAGUGUGAAAAACUCCGGUGGUAUGAGAUGGACCCGCGUCUGAUUAGCUAGUUGGUGAGGUAACGGCCACCAAGGCAACGAUCAGUAGCCGGCCUGAGAGGGUGAACGGCCACGAUUGGGACUGAGACACGGCCCAAAUCCGUACGGAGGCA